GAAAGUAAUUAAGGGCGAAUGGCGGAUGCCUUGGCUCAUGGAGGCGAUGAAGGACGUGAUAAGCUGCGAUAAGCUUCGGGUAAGUGCAAAUAACUUUUGAUCCGAGGAUUUCCGAAUGGGACAACCUAACAUAUUGAAGGUAUGUUAUUCAUAAUUUAUUUAUGAAGGCUAACGCAGGGAACUGAAACAUCUUAGUACCUGUAGGAAGAGAAAAUAAUUUAAUGAUUCCCCCAGUAGUGGCGAGCGACCGGGGAAGAGCCCAAACCACAGACGUAGCAAUGCGUCUUUGGGGUUGUAGGACCACGUUGUGGUACUUAGCGAGUGAGGAGAAAUGUUUGGAAAGACAUUCCAUAGUGGGUGAUAGACCCGUAUCCGAAGCUUAAUAAGACUUAGUGGUAUCCUGAGUAACGCGGAACACGUGUAAUUCUGCGCGAAUCUGCCGGGACCAUCCGGUAAGGCUAAAUACUCCCAUGAGACCGAUAGUGAAUUAGUACCGUGAGGGAAAGGUGAAAAGCACUCCUAUUAGGAGAGUGAAAUAGUUCCUGAAACCAUUCGCCUACAAGCGGUCGGAGCAUUAUUUUAAUGUGACGGCGUGCCUUUUGCAUAAUGAACCUACGAGUUACCAUGUCUGGCAAGGUUAAGAGUUUCAUUCUCCGAGCCGUAGUGAAAGCGAGCCUGAAUAGGGCGUUUAGUCAGAUGGGGUAGACGCGAAACCAAGUGAUCUACACUUGACCAGGUUGAAGUUCCGGUAACACGGAAUGGAGGACCGCACGGAUAAGCGUUGAAAAGCUUCCCGAUGAGUUGAGUGUAGGAGUGAAAGGCCAAUCAAACUUGGAGAUAGCUCGUACUCCCCGAAAGGCAUUUAGGUGCCGCGUGCAAUGUUCUCCAUAAGAGGUAGAGCGACCGAUAGGUCAAGAGGGCUUCACCGCCUAUCGAGACCUGACGAACUCCGAAUGCUUAUGGACAGUAGUUGCGCAGUAAGGGGGCGGGUGCUAAGGUCCGUCCCCGAGAGGAGAAGAAUCCUGACCGCCAUCUAAGGUCCCCAAAUUCUGUACUAAGUUAGUCUAACGAAGUCUGGUCCCCGUGACAGCUAGGAUGUUGGCUUGGAAGCAGCCAUUCAUUCAAAGAGUGCGUAACAGCUCACUAGUCGAGGGUCCGGGCAUGGAUAAUAAUCGGGUAUAAGUCAGAUACCGAAGAUGCGGGAUAGUAUUGUAUAUAAAAAGUAUCGGUAGGGGAGCAUUCCAUAUGCGUUGAAUGGUGUAUGUAAAUUAUCCUGGAGCGUAUGGAAAAGCAAAUGUAGGUAUAAGUAACGAUAAAGGAGGUGAGAUUCCUCCUCGCCGUAAGACUAAGGUUUCCCAGGCGAUGCCAAUCAGCCUGGGGUUAGUCGGGUCCUAAGUUUCAGCCGAAUGGCGAUAGCGAUGGCAGACACGGUUAAUAUUCCGUGACUUGCGUAUUCAGUGAUGUGGAGACGGAGUCGUGACACUGUCGCGCCCUGACGGAAAUGGGCGUUAAAAGUUUUAGGUAUUGAUAGGUGUAGGCAAAUCCGCACCUUGAGCUGAUGACUAAUAGUACAGCAUCCUCUUCGGAGGGAGCUGAUAGCACAGGUAAUCAUACUUCCAAGAAAAUCCGCUAAACUUAAUGUUUACGCAACCCGUACCGCAAACGGACACACGUAGUCGGGUAGAAUAUACUAAGGCGUUGAGAGAUUCAUGGUUAAGGAACUAGGCAAAUUGACCCCGUAACUUCGGGAUAAGGGGUCCUCAUAUUUAACUAUAUGAGGCGCAGAGAAUCGGUCCAGGCAACUGUUUAACAAAAACACAGGGCUGUGCAAACUCGAAAGAUGACGUAUACAGUCUGACACCUGCCCGGUGCUGGAAGGUUAAGAGGAGAGCUUAGGCUUACGCCGAAGGUUUGAAUUGAAGCCCCAGUAAACGGCGGCCGUAACUAUAACGGUCCUAAGGUAGCGAAAUUCCUUGUCGGGUAAGUUCCGACCUGCACGAAUGGUGUAAUGAUCUGGACGCUGUCUCAACCAUGAGCUCAGUGAAAUUGUAGUAUCGGUGAAGAUGCCGAUUACCCGCGAUGGGACGAAAAGACCCCGUGAACCUUUACUACAGCUUAGCAUUGAUCUUGGUCAUCCGAUGUGUAGGAUAGGCCGGAGGCUUUGAAGCGGGCACGCCAGUGUUUGUGGAGCCUUCCUUGAAAUACGGCCCUUUGGCUGUCUGAGGUCUAACUCGAUA
rnacentral:rRNA from 1 species